rnacentral:misc_RNA from 1 species
AAUUGAGCUUUCAACAUCAGCUGGUUAGUGCGGAAGUGAGGGAUCCAAGUCUAGCCUCUUGCACGUUGAAAACUGAGGCAAAAUGUCCGUAAUUCUGAAUAUGAGUUAAGGAGAGACAAUAAUUUCAUGUAGUUCCUCCAACACAGAUUCCAUUGUAGGCCUUUGAUUUGGAGAUUCAUGAGUGCAAAGAAGCGCUAAUCUCCCGAGUUU